AGCAGCCGCGGUAAUUCCAGCUCCAAUAGCGUAUAUUAAAGUUGUUGCAGUUAAAAAGCUCGUAGUUGAAUUUUGGGUUUGGCCAAUUGGUCCGUUCUUGUAACGAGUACUGGUUGGUUGGGCCUCACCGCCUGGUGAUACGUAAUGUCCUUUAUUGGGUGUUGCGAGUAGCCAGGACCUUUACCUUGAAAAAAUUAGAGUGUUUAAGGCAGGCUUAUGCCGGAAUACAUUAGCAUGGAAUAAUAGAAUAGGACGAUGAUUCUAUUUUGUUGGUUUCUAGGAGCAUCGUAAUGAUUAAUAGGGAUAGUUGGGGGCAUUAGUAUUCAAUUGUCAGAGGUGAAAUUCUUGGAUUUAUUGAAGACUAACUACUGCGAAAGCAUUUGCCAAGGAUGUUUUCAUUAAUCAAGAACGAAAGUUAGGGGAUCGAAGACGAUCAGAUACCGUCGUAGUCUUAACCAUAAACUAUGCCGACUCGGGAUCGGGCGAUGUUGUUUCAAUGACUCG
rnacentral:rRNA from 1 species